rnacentral:rRNA from 1 species
UGCAAGCGUUGUUCGGAAUCAUUGGGCGUAAAGCGCACGUAGGUGGCCUUGCAAGUCGGAUGUGAAAGCCCAGGGCUCAACCCUGGAAGUGCAUCCGAAACUGCUCGGCUCGAGUCCCGGAGAGGAUGGCGGAAUUCCGAGUGUAGAGGUGAAAUUCGUAGAUAUUCGGAGGAACACCAGUGGCGAAGGCGGCCAUCUGGACGGAGACUGACACUGAGGUGCGAAAGCGUGGGGAGCAAACAGG